rnacentral:tRNA from 1 species
GGUUCCAUGGUGUAAUAAUAGUGAGCAUUCUGGACUCUGAAUCCAGGGAUCUGAGUAGGAGUCUCGGUGGAACCU